AGCCUGCGAAGGUGACCUGUGAGGGUUGCUGGAGGUAUCAGAAGUGCGAAUGCUGACAUAAGUAACGAUAAAGCGGGUGAAAAGCCCGCUCGCCGGAAGACCAAGGGUUCCUGUCCAACGUUAAUCGGGGCAGGGUGAGUCGACCCCUAAGGCGAGGCCGAAAGGCGUAGUCGAUGGGAAACAGGUUAAUAUUCCUGUACUUGGUGUUACUGCGAAGGGGGGACGGAGAAGGCUAUGUUAGCCGGGCGACGGUUGUCCCGGUUUAAGCAUGUAGGCUGGUUAUCCAGGCAAAUCCGGAUAAUCAAGGCUGAGGUGUGAUGACGAGGCACUACGGUGCUGAAGUAACAAAU
rnacentral:rRNA from 1 species